CUUCUACAGACUCUUGCAAGGUAUUGAAGGUGAAGUUCACUGACCACAGGAUUAGGAGCAUCAUCUUGCUUGCACAUAGUCCAAGGCACGCCAGUUUUUAGUCCCACGGCCAUUUUUGCUGCCCAACGAACGAAGAAAAUGAGCUUUCCCACACAUUUUUUUAAAGGGAGGGAGAGAGAUUACGGCCGUCAACCUGUCCGCGUCGGGGCUCAUGGAGAUUCCAAAACACGUAGGUUCUUUCCACAAUCACGUGAUGGGCUCAUGAAGAAUUCUUUUUAAAGAAUGCAUAUGUCAAUAAUAUAUUCCUUGCUGUGAACCAAACAACACGGCCACCCCUGAGUUUUUUUGGGGUUCCAAGUGAACUGCAAAGAAGGGAGUUUUUUAUGUUCUUUACGUGAAAUGUAAAGAAAACACAAAUCGAUCAAGUGUGUCUAUCCAUACGCGGUUAACUUCAUUCUUGGUAUGAAUGAUCUAAUUCGUAUUACGUCAAAGAUAGAUGAUUUCGAUUGGCAAAAAAACCCUCAGGCGGGGCUCGUUUAGUGCUCUAUAACCACUUAAAGGUCUCCGACCGCAUUAAAUGUCUUUCAAUCAUGUGAUUGCCGAUAUCGACUAAUCUCCGAUUUUGGUGACGAUGCUAUGAUUGGGAAGACGUGAAAUUCUAACGAUUCAAAUCGAGCAUUACAUUUACCUUUACUAUAUCUAUACUUUUGAUCUACUUGAUAGUCAAAUAAGUCUUAUGUUGCACUCAUUGUUGCUGUAGCCACACGAUCGUGAGACAAUCAUGACGAUGGAGACCAUUCAUUUUGUUGCCCUUGUUGAAUUGAUUCUCAUAAAUUUGCAGCUCGAUCAGGUUUAGA